UUUUACUACGAGAGGCAAAGGAGUAGAUGGUAUCAUUAGACUUUGAGUACCUGAGUAUGAGCAGAAACAUAUCUUGAGAAAGUGCCACUCCGGUGCAUACGGAGGACACCAUGCUGGAGACAGUACUGCACAUAAGGCGAACUUCUCUCCAAAUGGGAAGGGCCAUAUGUCAUCAAAGAAGUUUGCAGUUUUGGAGCUAUGAAGAUAAAUCACGCUGAAGGAAACAAACUGAAGGUUGUUAAUGGGCAAAGACUUAAACACUAUAUUGCAGGUGUUGAAAGAUGGAAGGGGAGCCGACUGAGGCCAAGGACAAAC